CGGGAAGUCCUCGUGUUGCAUC
rnacentral:sRNA from 1 species